UACAGAGGUCCCAAGCGUUGUUCGGAUUCAUUGGGCGUAAAGGGUGCGUAGGCGGCGUGGUAAGUCACUUGUGAAAUCUCCGGGCUUAACUCGGAACGGUCAAGUGAUACUGCUGUGCUAGAGUGCGGAAGGGGCAACUGGAAUUCUCGGUGUAGCGGUGAAAUGCGUAGAUAUCGAGAGGAACACCUGCGGCGAAGGCGGGUUGCUGGGCCGACACUGACGCUGAGGCGCGAAAGCUAGGGGAGCGAACGGG
rnacentral:rRNA from 1 species